AAUUAUCCACAGCAGCAGUGUUACCGCGGUUCAGCCCGUUGUGAUGACGUGACAGGAUGCGACAUCGAGUUUCUUCUUCGGGGGUUUUGUGUGAGUUCGUCCGGUUAGUUUCGAUUGGUCACAGCAGCAGAGAGAGAACCUGGGUGCGUUAGGAUCCCGAGUUUAGUUUCUGUGUAUCCCAGAUGCUGUAUUUGAAGUAUUUAGGUAACUGACCAAACUUCUGUUCUUUCAGACAGUGAUAUUCGGAGAGACAACACCAAAAGUCUAUGAAACGGGUAUGAAGAACUUCAAAUAGUUGGAGAUGUCCACUGAAUGUCCAAAAUUCCAUACUAGGUGCAUCCAAAUUUUGGGGGAUAUCAGAUUCAGCAGCUCAGUCAAUAUCAUCAAGAAUUGCUGUCCUGACUACAGCCAACCACCACAUUCAGGGACCGCUGCUCAAAAAGCUGUUGAGCAAAGAUGAGUGGAGACAUCGCACAAGCAGGUGCAGCCCACCUGUACCAGCGGACACGGCCGAGCUGCAGGUGAAACCAGUCUGGGGCCUGUACCAAAGGUCAAGGUCGCACAAGAGGACCUGGUUGUAGCCAAAAACAUGGCGCCAAAACCAAUCAGGCUAUACCAGACUGGAACAAAUUGGAUGUAUUUCCUGAGAACAUGUCCUUUAGUUUUGUUGGUCAGAACUCCAAUCAUUCAUUUUACAGGUCUUUUCAUUCCUUCCUCCACAGCCGAGACGUCCAACGGCGCAACAUGUUCGUUCAACGCUGCAGCCGCUGGGCCGCGACCUGCGCACGCAUCUGCAUCCUUCAUUAAACUCGUUCACACCAGAA